CAUAGGUUAAUGAGGCGAACCGGGGGAACUGAAACAUCUAAGUACCCCGAGGAAAAGAAAUCAACCGAGAUUCCCCCAGUAGCGGCGAGCGAACGGGGAGCAGCCCAGAGCCUGAAUCAGUGUGUGUGUUAGUGGAAGCGUCUGGAAAGGCGCGCGAUACAGGGUGACAGCCCCGUACACAAAAAUGCACAUGCUGUGAGCUCGAUGAGUAGGGCGGGACACGUGGUAUCCUGUCUGAAUAUGGGGGGACCAUCCUCCAAGGCUAAAUACUCCUGACUGACCGAUAGUGAACCAGUACCGUGAGGGAAAGGCGAAAAGAACCCCGGCGAGGGGAGUGAAAAAGAACCUGAAACCGUGUACGUACAAGCAGUGGGAGCACAGAGCAAUCUGUGUGACUGCGUACCUUUUGUAUAAUGGGUCAGCGACUUAUAUUCUGUAGCAAGGUUAACCGAAUAGGGGAGCCGAAGGGAAACCGAGUCUUAACUGGGCGUUAAGUUGCAGGGUAUAGACCCGAAACCCGGUGAUCUAGCCAUGGGCAGGUUGAAGGUUGGGUAACACUAACUGGAGGACCGAACCGACUAAUGUUGAAAAAUUAGCGGAUGACUUGUGGCUGGGGGUGAAAGGCCAAUCAAACCGGGAGAUAGCUGGUUCUCCCCGAAAGCUAUUUAGGUAGCGCCUCGUGAAUUCAUCUCCGGGGGUAGAGCACUGUUUCGGCAAGGGGGUCAUCCCGACUUACCAACCCGAUGCAAACUGCGAAUACCGGAGAAUGUUAUCACGGGAGACACACGGCGGGUGCUAACGUCCGUCGUGAAGAGGGAAACAACCCAGACCGCCAGCUAAGGUCCCAAAGUCAUGGUUAAGUGGGAAACGAUGUGGGAAGGCCCAGACAGCCAGGAUGUUGGCUUAGAAGCAGCCAUCAUUUAAAGAAAGCGUAAUAGCUCACUGGUCGAGUCGGCCUGCGCGGAAGAUGUAACGGGGCUAAACCAUGCACCGAAGCUGCGGCAGCGACGCUGAUGCGUUGUUGGGUAGGGGAGCGUUCUGUAAGCCUGCGAAGGUGUGCUGUGAGGCAUGCUGGAGGUAUCAGAAGUGCGAAUGCUGACAUAAGUAACGAUAAAGCGGGUGAAAAGCCCGCUCGCCGGAAGACCAAGGGUUCCUGUCCAACGUUAAUCGGGGCAGGGUGAGUCGACCCCUAAGGCGAGGCCGAAAGGCGUAGUCGAUGGGAAACAGGUUAAUAUUCCUGUACUUGGUGUUACUGCGAAGGGGGGACGGAGAAGGCUAUGUUGGCCGGGCGACGGUUGUCCCGGUUUAAGCGUGUAGGCUGGUUUUCCAGGCAAAUCCGGAAAAUCAAGGCUGAGGCGUGAUGACGAGGCACUACGGUGCUGAAGCAACAAAUGCCCUGCUUCCAGGAAAAGCCUCUAAGCAUCAGGUAACAUCAAAUCGUACCCCAAACCGACACAGGUGGUCAGGUAGAGAAUACCAAGGCGCUUGAGAGAACUCGGGUGAAGGAACUAGGCAAAAUGGUGCCGUAACUUCGGGAGAAGGCACGCUGAUACGUAGGUGAAGUCCCUCGCGGAUGGAGCUGAAAUCAGUCGAAGAUACCAGCUGGCUGCAACUGUUUAUUAAAAACACAGCACUGUGCAAACACGAAAGUGGACGUAUACGGUGUGACGCCUGCCCGGUGCCGGAAGGUUAAUUGAUGGGGUCAGCGCAAGCGAAGCUCUUGAUCGAAGCCCCGGUAAACGGCGGCCGUAACUAUAACGGUCCUAAGGUAGCGAAAUUCCUUGUCGGGUAAGUUCCGACCUGCACGAAUGGCGUAAUGAUGGCCAGGCUGUCUCCACCCGAGACUCAGUGAAAUUGAACUCGCUGUGAAGAUGCAGUGUACCCGCGGCAAGACGGAAAGACCCCGUGAACCUUUACUAUAGCUUGACACUGAACAUUGAGCCUUGAUGUGUAGGAUAGGUGGGAGGCUUUGAAGUGUGGACGCCAGUCUGCAUGGAGCCGACCUUGAAAUACCACCCUUUAAUGUUUGAUGUUCUAACGUUGACCCGUAAUCCGGGUUGCGGACAGUGUCUGGUGGGUAGUUUGACUGGGGCGGUCUCCUCCUAAAGAGUAACGGAGGAGCACGAAGGUUGGCUAAUCCUGGUCGGACAUCAGGAGGUUAGUGCAAUGGCAUAAGCCAGCUUGACUGCGAGCGUGACGGCGCGAGCAGGUGCGAAAGCAGGUCAUAGUGAUCCGGUGGUUCUGAAUGGAAGGGCCAUCGCUCAACGGAUAAAAGGUACUCCGGGGAUAACAGGCUGAUACCGCCCAAGAGUUCAUAUCGACGGCGGUGUUUGGCACCUCGAUGUCGGCUCAUCACAUCCUGGGGCUGAAGUAGGUCCCAAGGGUAUGGCUGUUCGCCAUUUAAAGUGGUACGCGAGCUGGGUUUAGAACGUCGUGAGACAGUUCGGUCCCUA
rnacentral:rRNA from 1 species